UACGGAGGGGGCGAGCGUUAUUCGGAAUCACUGGGCGUAAAGGGCGCGUAGGCGGUGGGAUAAGCGUGCGGUGAAAGCCUGGGGCUCAACCCCGGGUCGGCCGUGCGAACUGUCUCACUCGAGCACUGUAGGGGCAGGCGGAAUUCCGGGUGUAGCGGUGGAAUGCGUAGAGAUCGGGAAGAACACCCGUGGCGAAGGCGGCCGGCUGGGCCGGAUCCGACGCUGAGGCGCGAAAGCGUGGGGAGCAAACAGG
rnacentral:rRNA from 1 species